AUUUGCCUGUGAUUACACAGAGUGCAAUUUCUAGGUACAAUUAUUUUCGUUUUUGAAUUUGUACAAUGUUGGGGAUGAGUGUAAGGGUUGGACAGGUGUGGUAAAUAUACAUGAUUUGGUAUUUUCUUAAUUAUAAACAUUGCGUGGGUGGUAACAUUAACAUAUGGUUUUUGGUUUGUUUACAUUUUUUAGAAUUUCAGGCAAUUUGCAUAAGUCAAUUUAUUUGAGUUUAAUUUUACUUUUAUUUAUAUUUUCAGGUACCCCCGCCAGAAGGACGGAAGCACCGAGCCUCAGGAGUCUUUGCCGGUGGGGAAUGGGAGCUGCCUGUCCCAGUUAUUUGCAGCACGCAGGCUGCGCGCAACUUUUGAAUUUGAGUUGGGCCAGCGUUUAGCAGUUUCACCAGUCGUCAGAGUUUUAUUUUCGUGUGGAGAUCCCGCGCCGCCGUCAAUUUAGAUUUUAGUUUGCAGGAGGCUGCCAACCCGCCCAUGGGUCUCAUCGCCAGCCUUCAAAUGGUUCAAAUCGCAGUGGAUUCCCGCGCCGCCGUCUUAAUUCAAGGUCCAGGGAGUUGCUGCAUUUCAGCUGGAGUUCUUCAAAUCGCAGUGGAUUCCCGCGUCGCCGUCUAAUUCCAGGGUCCAGGGAGUUGCUGCGCUUCAGCUGGAGUUCAUCAAAGUAUCAGCGAGAGCGUCGUCAUUGCUUUGGAGUCACCAGGGUCGUCUCUUCUGUGGGUCGUCUCGCCAGGGAAAGGAGGCAUCUUGUGGACGCCGGGCCAAGAUGCUUUGCUUUGGGCCGACGCUCGUAAAUGUCAAUGGAAUUGGAUGCAGAGAAUUGGAUUAGAUAAGUAUAUCUAUGUGUUUAGUUUUGUUUUGUCCGAUUUUAGUUUUUUGUCUUUUCUUUUGCAGGUCCAGUUUGUCCAGGAUUUUAAAUUUGUCCGGUGGGAUUUGGAAAGGAAAGCGGUGCCAUGGAUUUAUAAGAAGCAUCGUUGGGGAGGUUCGUGUAUGUCGGUAGGGAUAUUUUCAUUAUACCACUACUAUUAUAAAAAGGUCGAAUUUGAGGGUCACCAUUUUGACCUUUUGCCGGGCCGGCAGCGCCACACCCAGAAUUCAGGAGGGCGAGGGGGCAUUCCGAUAUGGAAACGGCAUCAAAACAUUAUAUGUUUUUAAUGUUUUUAGGUGCCAAAAACAUCGUUUUCCGUUGCGGAUGUUUUCAGUGUACUGUUGCUGCCGGGAAAAAAGUCGAAUUCAGGGGUCAUGCUUUUGGCCUUUUGCCAGGCCAGCAGCGCCGCGCUUAGGAUUCAGAAGGACGAGGGGGCAUCCUAGCAUGGAAAUGGCAUCAAAAAAUUAUGCGUUUUUAGUGUUUUAGUUGCCAAAAACUUCGUUUUCUGUUGCGUCUAGUAGGGAUAUUGUAGUUGCUACCGGGAAAAAAGUUGAAUUUAGGGGUCACGAUUUUGGCCUUUUGCCGGGUCGGCAGCGCCGCACCAAGGGUCAAUAAAAACGAGGGUGCUUCUUGACAUGGGGACGGCAUCGAAACUUUGUGCAUUUUUAUAUAUAUUAUUAUAUAUUACACUGCUAUAUGUUUUGAUUAAAUUAUUACAAUCUUUAACGGA